rnacentral:rRNA from 1 species
UACGGCGGGUGCAAGCGUUAAUCGGAAUUACUGGGCGUAAAGCGCGCGUAGGUGGUUCAGCAAGUUGGAUGUGAAAUCCCCGGGCUCAACCUGGGAACUGCAUCCAAAACUACUGAGCUAGAGUACGGUAGAGGGUGGUGGAAUUUCCUGUGUAGCGGUGAAAUGCGUAGAUAUAGGAAGGAACACCAGUGGCGAAGGCGACCACCUGGACUGAUAAUGACACGGAGGUGAGAAAGCGGGGGGAGCAAACAGGAGUAGAUACCCGUGUAGUCC